rnacentral:rRNA from 1 species
GAUGAUCGCUGGCGGCGUGCCUAAUACAUGCAACUCGAGCGAACGGACGAGAAGCUUGCUUCACUGAUGUUAGCGGCGGACGGGUGAGUAACACGUGGAUAACCUACCUAUAAGACUGGGAUAACUUCGGGAAACCGGAGCUAAUACCUGAUAAUAUUUUGAACCGCAUGGUUCAAAAGUGAAAGACGGUCUUGCUGUCACUUAUAGAUGGAUCCGCGCUCCAUUAGCUAGUUGGUAAGGUAACGGCUUACCAAGGCAACGAUGCAUAGCCGACCUGAGAGGGUGAUCGGCCACACUGGAACUGAGACACGGUCCAGACUCCUACGGGAGGCAGCAGUAGGGAAUCUUCCGCAAUGGGCGAAAGCCUGACGGAGCAACGCCGCGUGAGUGAUAAAGGUCUUCGGAUCGUAAAACUCUGUUAUUAGGUAAGAACAUAUGUGUAAGUAACUGUGCACAUCUUGACGGUACCUAAUCAGAAAGCCACGGCUAACUACGUG